CCAUAUAACUGCCAUCAAAGUCUAAACCAGUUGACCCGACUUGAAAUUGUCUCUCUUAUGGACUCCAGAUUUAAGGAAAUUGCCGCUGCCGUUGCCCGGCAAUCAUGUCCGAUAUGCCUCUGCCAGAUACACCAUCGGAGCGCGGCGGUUGUUAUCCCAUGUAUGCACGCCUACUGCAUCGUUUGCAUCCGCAGAUGGAGCGAUGUGAAGAGAAAAUGCCCUCUCUGCAACGCCGACUUUGAUUCAUGGUUCUCCAGAAUCAGCUUCUCCUCCCGGACCUUCCAGAAAGAGCAAUUAUCAGCUCGUAACGAGACUAAGAAGUUACACUCAGGUUUUGUUCCCUCUAGGCUGAGAGACCGAUUGGCGGACCGAAGAGUGAUUAGGAGAAGGAGAGAAGAGUUGAAUACUUUUGGCUCCAGAACGAGGCCGUUCCCAAGGCGGCGAUCCUUUGAUCACAAAGGAGCUUUGAAUCCAGAUGAUAUUACUAGGAGAAUCAUUCUCUGGCGUUCCAGCAUUUAUGAAGAGAGAUUGCAGGCUGUUCCUUUUUCAUCUAAAAAUUGCCUUAUGCAGCACAUGGAUAAUAGGAGUACCAAAGAAAAGAUGUUACAGAGAAUAGAACCUUGGAUAAGAAGAGAGCUGCAGGCUAUACUGGGUGAUCCAGAUCCAUCCAUUAUCGUCCAUGUUGCUACCUCACUUUUUAUCACUGAGAAUACACAUUCAACACAGUGGUGCGACAGAAAUGAAUUUCUUGCUCCAUUGCGGCCCUUCUUGCAUGAACGUGCAGAAGUGUUUUGGCAUGAACUAAGGCACAUGUGAAGUGAUCAGAGUUUUUUGUAUUUGCUGGGAUUUGAAUCCUGGUCACCAGGAUAUGCAUCCAUCUUAUUAAUCUCUGCCAUACCCUUUUCGAGAUGCUUUGCCGAGAGCCCUUUCUCUAUGCAAACAUAUGAUACUGUGGUGGAGUACUACUCCUUGGACUAAUUCACCAGUACCAAUCAUCACUGCGUUGGCUACACUCCUGGGGAUAACAAUGGAUUGAGAGGGAUAAGAUAGUGUUGUGUUCCAGCAUAGUCAUCUGAUCAUGACCAUAAGGAUGUUCGAAUCUGAAUUCUUGCAGCAAAUGGAAGAGCAGGCCGCCAGUUUUUCUUCCUUGAUAGCCAGUUAAGAUUGGUUGAAGAGCCCACACUAUGCACUGCUCCUUAUGGAUGAAGUCUUGUUGCCUUGGCUUUGUCUAGGCAGGGAUGAGCAUAUUUGUUGUGCAUAUUCAAUGACCUUUUUCGUGAAGUCCAAGACACAGUAGAAGAGUGACAGGAGUUCCUGAGGAGUUAGCAUUUGGUAGACGAUGUGCUAGUGACCUGUUUGAGCUCAAUAAGACACUGUUUGAAAAGUACGGUUCGACGUUGGUGGACCUAGUUUUUCCAGUUAUAUCCUCUGUGAAGUCCGCAUUUUGAAGAAGGAAGAAGAACCUUGUGUUGAUAGUUUGCGAAGUGGAUGAUAAGCCUUUCAAAUAGAAACUGUACAGGGUUGCGAAUCUCUUGUGUGAAAUGCACAUCGUUGGAAAGAUGUUAACUGCGCAGUGUCAUGUACCAAAUUAGAUGGUAUACAUGUUUCGAUAUUAAAUUAUGUCGUUAAGAUAUGCGUGACUCUGGAAAAUCUUAACUCUUCUACAUAGGACCAAAAGAUUAUGCAUGCAUAAAAAGAGAAAUUCAUUGCAAUCCCAAAUAUAGACAAAAAUUUAUGUAUGUUUACCAGCCACCAAACGUGACAUUUUCCAUUAAUAUAACUGUUUAAAUAUAUAUUUUCAGGGGAAAA